UUUCAUUUUCGGAUUUGCGUC
rnacentral:piRNA from 1 species